rnacentral:rRNA from 1 species
AACGUAGGAGGCAAGCGUUAUCCGGAUUUACUGGGCGUAAAGCGCGUGCAGGCGGUUUGUUAAGUUGGAUGUGAAAGCUCCUGGCUCAACUGGGAGAGGUCGUUCAAAACUGGCAAACUUGAGGGCGGUAGAGGGAGGUGGAAUUCCGUGUGUAGUGGUGAAAUGCGUAGAUAUACGGAGGAACACCAGUGGCGAAAGCGACCUCCUGGACCGAUCCUGACGCUCAGACGCGAAAGCUAGGGGAGCAAACGGGAUUAGAGACCCCGGUAGUCCUAGCCGUAAACGAUGUGAACUUGGCGUCGGUGGGUUUAAAUCCAUCGGUGCCGUAGCUAACGCGAUAAGUUCACCGCCUGGGGACUACGGCCGCAAGGUUAAA